rnacentral:rRNA from 1 species
GUAGGUGGCAAGCGUUGUCCGGAAUUAUUGGGCGUAAAGCGCGCGCAGGCGGUUCUUUAAGUCUGAUGUGAAAGCCCACGGCUCAACCGUGGAGGGUCAUUGGAAACUGGAGAACUUGAGUACAGAAGAGGAAAGCGGAAUUCCACGUGUAGCGGUGAAAUGCGUAGAGAUGUGGAGGAACACCAGUGGCGAAGGCGGCUUUCUGGUCUGUAACUGACGCUGAGGCGCGAAAGCGUGGGGAGCAAACAGGGAUUAGAUACCCUGGUAGUCCACGCCGUAAACGAUGAGUGCUAAGUGUUAGGGGGGUUUCCGCCCCCUUAGUGCUGCAGCUAACGCAUUAAGCACUCCGCCUGGGGAGUACGCCCCGCAAGGCUG